rnacentral:rRNA from 1 species
UACGUAGGUGACAAGCGUUGUCCGGAUUUACUGGGCGUAAAGAGCGCGCAGGCGGUCGUUCAAGUCGAGUGUGAAAGCCCCCGGCUCAACUGGGGAGGGUCACUCGAUACUGAUCGACUUGAAGGCAGGAGAGGGAAGCGGAAUUCCCGGUGUAGUGGUGAAAGUGCGAUGAGAUAUCGGGAGGAACACCGAGUGGCGAAGGCGGCUUCCUGGCCUGCUCUUGACGCUGAGGCGCGAAAGCUAGGGUAGCAAACGGG